GCAGUCCGCGGGCCUAAUACAUGCAGUCGAAACAAGGUAGGCCGUAGAUUUACUUCGGUAAUGACGCUGGGGACGCGAGCGGGGGAUGGGUGAGUAACACGUGGGGAACCUGCCCCAUAGUCUAGGAUACCACUUGGAAACAGGUGCUAAUACCGGAUAAUAAAGCAGAUCGCAUGAUCAGCUUAUAAAAGGCGGCGUAAGCUGUCGCUAUGGGAUGGCCCCGCGGUGCAUUAGCUAGUUGGUAAGGUAACGGCUUACCAAGGCAAUGAUGCAUAGCCGAGUUGAGAGACUGAACGGCCACAUUGGGACUGAGACACGGCCCAAACUCCUACGGGAGGCAGCAGUAGGGAAUCUUCCACAAUGGACGCAAGUCUGAUGGAGCAACGCCGCGUGAGUGAAGAAGGUUUUCGGAUCGUAAAGCUCUGUUGUUGGUGAAGAAGGAUAGAGGUAGUAACUGGCCUUUAUUUGACGGUAAUCAACCAGAAAGUCACGGCUAACUACGUGCCAGCAGCCGCGGUAAUACGUAGGUGGCAAGCGUUGUCCGGAUUUAUUGGGCGUAAAGCGAGCGCAGGCGGAAGAAUAAGUCUGAUGUGAAAGCCCUCGGCUUAACCGAGGAAUUGCAUCGGAAACUGUUUUUCUUGAGUGCAGAAGAGGAGAGUGGAACUCCAUGUGUAGCGGUGGAAUGCGUAGAUAUAUGGAAGAACACCAGUGGCGAAGGCGGCUCUCUGUGCUGCAACUGACGCUGAGCUCGAAAGCAUGUGUAGCGAACAGGAUUAGAUACCCUGUAGUCCAUGCCGUAACGAUGAUGGCUAAUUGUGGGAGGUUUCCGCCUCUCAAUGCUGCAGCUAACGCAGUAAGCACUUCCGCCUUGGGGGAGUACGACGCAAUCAUUCCAAGGAUUGAACGGGGCCGCCGACAAGACCG
rnacentral:rRNA from 1 species